rnacentral:rRNA from 1 species
UUUUGUAUAAUGGGUCAGCGACUUAUAUUCUGUAGCAAGGUUAACCGAAUAGGGGAGCCGAAGGGAAACCGAGUCUUAACUGGGCGUUAAGUUGCAGGGUAUAGACCCGAAACCCGGUGAUCUAGCCAUGGGCAGGUUGAAGGUUGGGUAACACUAACUGGAGGACCGAACCGACUAAUGUUGAAAAAUUAGCGGAUGACUUGUGGCUGGGGGUGAAAGGCCAAUCAAACCGGGAGAUAGCUGGUUCUCCCCGAAAGCUAUUUAGGUAGCGCCUCGUGAAUUCAUCUCCGGGGGUAGAGCACUGUUUCGGCAAGGGGGUCAUCCCGACUUACCAACCCGAUGCAAACUGCGAAUACCGGAGAAUGUUAUCACGGGAGACACACGGCGGGUGCUAACGUCCGUCGUGAAGAGGGAAACAACCCAGACCGCCAGCUAAGGUCCCAAAGUCAUGGUUAAGUGGGAAACGAUGUGGGAAGGCCCAGACAGCCAGGAUGUUGGCUUAGAAGCAGCCAUCAUUUAAAGAAAGCGUAAUAGCUCACUGGUCGAGUCGGCCUGCGCGGAAGAUGUAACGGGGCUAAACCAUGCACCGAAGCUGCGGCAGCGACACUGUGUGUUGUUGGGUAGGGGAGCGUUCUGUAAGCCUGUGAAGGUGU